GAUGAACGCUAGCUACAGGCUUAACACAUGCAAGUCGAGGGGAAACGACAUCGAAAGCUUGCUUUUGAUGGGCGUCGACCGGCGCACGGGUGAGUAACGCGUAUCCAACCUGCCCAUCACUUGGGGAUAACCUCGCGAAAGUAAGACUAAUACCCAAUGAUAUCUCUAGAAGACAUCUGAAAGAGAUUAAAGAUUUAUCGGUGAUGGAUGGGGAUGCGUCUGAUUAGCUUGUUGGCGGGGUAACGGCCCACCAAGGCGACGAUCAGUAGGGGUUCUGAGAGGAAGGUCCCCCACAUUGGAACUGAGACACGGUCCAAACUCCUACGGGAGGCAGCAGUGAGGAAUAUUGGUCAAUGGGCGAGAGCCUGAACCAGCCAAGUAGCGUGCAGGAAGACGGCCCUAUGGGUUGUAAACUGCUUUUAUAAGGGAAUAAAGUGAGUCUCGUGAGACUUUUUGCAUGUACCUUAUGAAUAAGGACCGGCUAAUUCCGUGACAGCAGCCGCGGUAA
rnacentral:rRNA from 1 species